rnacentral:rRNA from 1 species
AUUGAACGCUGGCGGCAUGCUUUACACAUGCAAGUCGAACGGCAGCGCGGGCUUCGGCCUGGCGGCGAGUGGCGAACGGGUGAGUAAUAUAUCGGAACGUACCCAAGAGUGGGGGAUAACGUAGCGAAAGUUACGCUAAUACCGCAUACGAUCUAAGGAUGAAAGCAGGGGAUCGCAAGACCUUGUGCUCCUGGAGCGGCCGAUAUCUGAUUAGCUAGUUGGUGAGGUAAAGGCUCACCAAGGCAACGAUCAGUAGCUGGUCUGAGAGGACGAACAGCCACAAUGGAACUGAGAAACGGUCCAGACUCCUACGGGAGGCAGCAGUGGGGAAUUUUGGACAAUGGGGGCAACCCUGAUCCAGCAAUGCCGCGUGAGUGAAGAAGGCCUUCGGGUUGUAAAGCUCUUUUGUCAGGGAAGAAAAGGGUCUGGCUAAUAUCCAGAUCUGCUGACGGUACCUGAAGAAUAAGCACCGGCUAACUACGUGCCAGCAGCCGCCGUAAAAC